rnacentral:rRNA from 1 species
ACGGCGAGUGAAGCGGGAAAAGCUCAAAUUUGAAAUCUGGUAGCCUCAGGCUGCCCGAGUUGUAAUCUAUAGAAACGUUUUCCGCGCUGGCCCAUGUACAAGUCUCCUGGAAUGGAGCGUCAUAGAGGGUGAGAAUCCCGUCCUUGACAUGGACUACCAGUGCUUUGUGAUACGUUUUCAAAGAGUCGAGUUGUUUGGGAAUGCAGCUCAAAAUGGGUGGUAAAUUCCAUCUAAAGCUAAAUAUUGGCGAGAGACCGAUAGCGAACAAGUACCGUGAGGGAAAGAUGAAAAGCACUUUGGAAAGAGAGUUAAACAGUAUGUGAAAUUGUUGAAAGGGAAACGAUUGAAGUCAGUCAUGUCUAUUGGACUCAGCCGGUUCUGCCGGUGUACUUCCUUUAGAUGGGGUCAACAUCAGUUUUGAUCGCUGGAAAAGGGCAGGAGGAAUGUAGCACUCUCGGGUGAACUUAUAGCCUCCUGUCGUAUACAGUGGUUGGGACUGAGGAACGCAGCAUGCCUUUAUGGCCGGGGUUCGCCCACGUACAUGCU